CUGAGUCUUCUUCGAGACUCUUCUAUUCUCUCCUCCUUCUCUCUACUUUCUCUCUCUAAAUUCUCUCCGAUUCUCUGCAUGUUUUCAGGUUAUGAGUUCGAGUCAUCCCUAGAGCAAGGCGGGAAGUUCUUGGAGGAAGGGAUGCCGAGGGUCUAGUAGAAACAGUUUCUCUAUCCCAAGAUAUGAUUAAGGUCUGCGUAUACAAUACUCUCCCUAGAUCCCACUAAUAAAAUUAUAUUGUAUUACUGUUGCUGAACACUGUUACAUAAUUAAGACGAAAAAAAAUUGUAUAUAGGGAUUUUGGUUUUUUAUUUUUUUUGGGAUUUUGGGUUGGCUUAGGAUUGCAUAAGAUUUGCUAGGGAGUGGGGACCUAGACCUAAAGAAUUCAUGUACGUAUCAAUUAUUUGUUUUUUUAUAAUGAGGAUUAGCAGCUGGAUGCAUGUUUUGUUAAUAUUGAAUUAUUUUUUGUGGGUAACUUGGAGGGGACAAGGUCAAGUCCUCGUCAUUAAAUGAGAGUUUUCUUCAUGUUCAGUAAUAAGAAAUAAUAAUGAUAAAAAUACCAAUACUACUACGGGCAGGAUAGAAUCACGCUUAAUUAAAGAUUUCGAGUUUAAAUUUCAAAAUAAAUCUUUUCUUGUGUAAAAUACGUUUUUCCUCUUUAAUGAGUCUCACAUAAUAUAAAAACACAUCAAUCAAGUUCCGAAAUGGAAAACAACAACAACUACAACGACAACAAAUCUAGUGAAUUUUUACAAGUGAUGUCUGAAGAAGACAGUGUGUAUACAUAUCUUACCCCUACGUUGGAGGGAAAAGAGACUAUUAUCGAUAGAUCCUUGGCUAGAUACAAGAUGAAAAGAAUUAGUGGCAACACAUGGCAACAAAACAAGGCAUCAAAAAAAAAUUAAAAUGAAAGAAUGCAAUCAAACAAUAGAUAGUACCAUCAAUCCAAGAAUAAAGAGAUGACAUGCUACACUAUUGCUACCGAUCCGAGAAAAGGAACAGACAUGCGCUACUGCCUACUAACCAUCCACCCUAAUUCUCGACCUCCAAUCCCCCUAUCAAGGUUCAUGUCCUCGGUAAACUCCAACUAUGUCAUGUCCUGCCUAAUCACCCCUCCCCACUACUUCUUUGGCCUACCUCUACCCCUCCUCAUACCACUAAUGUCAAUCUCUCACACUUCCUAACUGGGGCAUCUGUGCUUCUCCUCUUCACCCACCCAAACUAUAUCAGCCUCGCCUCCCGCAUCUUAUCCUCCACGGGUGAACUCUCACUUUUUUCCGAGUAACUUCAUUCUUAAUCUUAUCUAACUUGGUAUGUCCACACAUCUAUCUCAACAUCCUUAUUUCAGCUACUUUCAUCUUUUGAACAUGACAGUUCUUGACUGGCCAACACUCCAUCUCAUACAACAAUGUAAGUCUAACCACCACUUUGUAGAAUUUAUUUUUAAGUUUUAGUGGCACAUUCUUAUCACAUAAGACUCCAAAAGCAAGCCUCCAUUUCAUCCACUCUACUCCAAUACGAUGUAUGACAUUCUCAUCAAUCUCCCAACUUCCUUGUAUUAUAAACCCAAGUUACUUGAAACUAUCUUUGUUUGGAAUGACUUGAGUCCCCAUCCUCAAAUCUAUGUCCGCUACGUGGGUUACGUCGCUGAACUUACACUCAAAGUAUUCUAUCUUGGUCUUGCUCAACCUAAAACCUUUAGACUCAAGGGUCUGACGCCAAACCUCCAGCCUCUCCUAAAAACCACCUCGCGUCUUGGGAAUCAGAAUUAUGUCGUUUGCAAAUAACAUACACCAUAACACCUCCUCUUGAAUAUGACGCAUCAGUGUAUCCAUCACCAAAGAAAGAAAAUAAAAACAGACUAAGGGUUGAUCAUGGUGUAACCCCAUAAUAUUUUAGAAUUAUUGUUUAAAACUCUCCACCACCAACUAUUAUAAACAAGAGAUUUUGUCGUUAUAUAGUGAUCACGCUCAACUGAGUCUCAAAAAAGACUAUGUGGGUGUUGUAAAUAUAAUCUGAGUAUUAUUGCCCAGAGUCGAACCACAUGGAAUUAACCUAUCAAUUACUAUUAUCAGAUUUACUAAAUCCACACAAUUUAUUUUCCAAACUUUUUGAUUCACAAGUAAUGUUUCUUUAACAACAAAAGGCUAAAAGUAAUUAACACCAGAAAAUUAACUAAACUUGAUGUGUAAACAGUUGGAAUAAGGUCUAAGACAAUGGUUUCCCCCCUUGGUAAUUUCCUUGGUUGUAUAUGUCUUAUAACUAUGAUUUAGUUGUCUCUAUCAAUCAUGAACGCUCCAGCUAUCAUAACUCUUUCUCAAGUAACUAUGAUAAUUUACUAGAUGCACUCUCUCAAGCUACGGUAGCUAGAUUCACAAUACAGUUCAUUGAGAUUGCACCCGGGGUAUCGUUAUCUCUAAUCCAACCACUAAACCCUCAGUUAUAACUCUCUUCUAUACUCCGGAAGUGAUGUUGUUCAUACAAUCACCUAAAUUUACACUUUCUCUCUCAAGUAGAUACAUAAUGAAUAGAAACGGAUAAUUCAGGGCCCUUUCAACUAACCACAAUUAAUUCAUAGAUGAACAAAUAAAGAUUAAUAACAAAAUCCAACUAAAUUAAUAAAACAACCAAGUCACCCCCUACGGGUUCCACCAAAACCUUAGAUUAAGGUUUUUAGCUACUCAUAACAUUGGGAAGAUAAACUACUAAAAGAUUCAUAAUCAUAAAUUGCAAGAAAAAUAAAAGAGAAUAAGAACACUGAUAUUUUGGGUGAUCUCUCACACUUGUUUCUCUUGCCAAAGUACUCUCUAAAACAUUACAUGCCUCCAUUGGGCGAGUUUUCUUGGUUAAUAUAGGGUUCUGGGCUAAAAAUCCCGUGUUUUGCAUGUAACUCCCUGAAUUUUUUGCACCCUGCCACGGUUACGACAGGACCGCGGCCUAACAACCUCUCUGAAGUUUCCGCGUGCUGUCGCGGUCCUACCGCGGUUACGCCAGGACCGCGGCAAAAGUACCUCUCAUACACCUGCAGCAUCAUUCUGCCGUGGUCCUACCGCGGUUACACCGGGACCGCGGCAGGCUAUCUUCAGUUCUGAUUUUUCCGCCUUGCUUGGUGCACUUUGUGGAUAUUGUAAGAUUGGCAUAUUUUCUCCUUAAUUGAUCACAAAAGUACUCCAUAGACUUCUUUUAUUACAUAUAGCCUGCAAAUCAUUAACAACACUAAUCGGAGCAUUUUGUUAUCACUUUUUACUAUAGAAACUAUACAAGAAGGUGGUUCUUUAGGGCUUAAUUAUAGUCUAAUUCACCUAUUAUCAACACCACGCACUUAAAUCUUUGUUCGUCCUCGAGCAAGUUGAACCACACUUCUAGGCCUAAUCAUCUGAUGUACUACCAUGUAUGCCAUACCCACUAUUAUGAAAGAACAACCUAAGUAGUGCAACAACCACACCUCGGAUGAAGACUCCAAUACCAUGUCACACUCAUGCUUACUCUAUGUACUCUAAACAUAGGUGAAAACUUGCUUUUUCUUCCUGAGUAACAUGUCCUCACAUCACAUUUUUUAGAGAAUUCCCACAUGCAUAAAAUUAAACAACAAGGAACUAUAGAUCGAAAAAAUUCACUCACUCUCAGCAAAGAACAUUCACAUUCCAUACAGAUACACAAUAAGCUUGCUCUUAGUUUAAUACUUUACUAAUCGAGUUGUUUAGUCCAAGAUCAAGAGGUAUUUAUUUGGUUGUAAUGUAGGCUAAGGAACGGGUAGGAUAUAUUUAGAUAUAGUGACUAACCCCCCUAAGCACUUUAAAUACAUUUGUUCCCUUUAUUCCAAUUUUCAUGUUCAGCCAAGUCAUUCUUCCACACUUGUUUCAUAAGCUACCCUCACUUUCCUAGGUGCGGCUUGCUUUUUCUUGCCAUUCACUAUUUUAGGACCACCUAUUUGCAAUGUCCUUCUUCUAUUAUAUAUAUAUAUAUAUAUAUAUAUAUAUAUAUAUAUUGAUUCACAAAGUUGAAAAGAGUAAGUAAUAAAUUAAUAAAAAGACUGAAACAUAAGCUAAAUACAAGAAAAGAUAAGAAGAGAUGCGUCCGCCCCUAUAUAUUUGAUACCACCUCCUACAAUGAAACUAAUAACCCCAACCCCGUUAGUCAUCCCAUCAAUUACUCGUCGAUCAAAAAAAUGAGUAAAUUCAGGUAAUCCUCUUAUUCUACCAACUAAGAUCUUGUAUAAAAAGCAUCGAUGUAAGCAUGAUUAUAUGACCAAUCAUAUAUGCCAUUUGUAAUUUUGUCCCACGGAAUUCUCUUAGGACCAUUUUUAAGUGCUUCUAUGAGGCAAAGGUUCAAACAGUCAAGCAAUUCAACGCAUGGAUGUAGGUUAUUGCAAGGUUAUCAAAGAAAUAGGCUUUAGGCUGGAAGGGGCUAACUAUGGUAGUAUGUACAGGUGGAUUCAUAAUUGGACAGGCUACACAAAAAAUGCCUAAAUCAUCUGUAAGACCAAACAACUUUUAUUUCGCUUUGAAAACACACCGGGCAAAUUCUAGGUAUUGCAUGCAAGCACAUAAUACAUGUAUUACCUCACACACAAUUAACAUGUAACUCAUUCCGAAUUAUUUUGUCAACACACUCACAUGAGCGUUCAAGCAAGAUAAGGUGGGCAAAAUUAGGGCAUAAAUUAUGAGUCUACAAACGAGCCUAGACGUCGCACCCUCAAGUUCGUUCAGUUAUUUGCAGGUGUGUACAUUAUGGGUUGCAUUGCUACCCUUACCCUUCUUAAUCCAAGAGAGUCCUAAAAAUAUCAAAGAACAAUCUACCUAACCCGAUUCAAGAAAAUUCCUUGGAAAAAAAUCGUGGUCAAAAGAAAAACCAAGGGUGAAUUACUACACUACCUAAAAAGAAAAAUAAAAAAAUCUAAGUGGACUACUUCCCUCAAGAAUCCAAGUGGUCCGUCCUCAGAAAGAGUAUCUUACAUAUUUGUUUUUGUUUUUUUUGUUUUGUUUUACUCGACUUAAUCCCUCAAGAGACCCGUCGACAAGUGUCUGUCCUAGGUCCAAGUCGGUGACUUCUAAGGUAAAUACAAGAAAUUCUACACAAAACAGAGAUACAGAACUACAACAUGCUCAAUGUAUAUGUACACUAACAAUACACCAUUAGAUCAAGUCUCCCACCCCACACAACAAGAAUAUGGCAUGUCCCCAUGUCAUUACACAAAUAAAAUGCAGAAGGGUAAGAAGACUUCCCUGAUCAUCACUCGGAGUCGGAGAUGGUGCUGGGGUCCAUAUGACAUGCCCUCCUAUAGCUCGGAACCAAGCCAUCAUCUGGAUCUCAUACUUGGCCUGCCUUCUAAACAUGGUAUCCAAACGGACAUGCAGGCCAUCCACCGAGGUGCGAAGAUCUGCCACCUCCUCCUCCAAGGAUGGAGUGUGAUCUAGAGAACCAUGCCCCAGUCUGGGGUCAUCGAGAGGAUCUAGAUCUAUCGUAAUAUCUCCUGGGUGGUGCCAUGGGUGAUGGGUCGUCAUCUUGAUCCUCUAGGUUAAUGGUUGUGGGCACAUCUCUGCCCACUAUGAUCGCUGCAACUCUGAAUGGCGCUUUUGGGGCCAAAGUUCCAUCCGUAGAAUUGGACGAGACAUUAGCCACCAGACAUAAUCUCGUCACCAGUGAGGGGUAGUAAAACCCCUUAGACAUCAGAGUCGACGGAGAAACAUUUCAUCACCAAUGAGUUGUACCACUUCAAAGUCCUUCUUGUUUACAAAGCACCAAGUCAAUAAAGCAUGUAAGCUAUUCACAUCUGUCGUGUUGCCUGUGGGCAAUAACCUGCUGCAAAUGAUAGUGAACCAGCACUUGGACUCGUAUGUGAAGGACUUGGAGUGCAGUGUCAUGUAAUUUUGGAUCCAAACUAGUCGUCCCCCUGAGCAUAAUGUAUGAAUCAUAGUGUCCCAGUCGACCCCUGGGGAAUUGUGGUAAUGAUCAAUGUCACUAGUGAACUAAGGUAGCCGUAAAACCUGGCGAGUCUUCUCUAUUGAGGCAUCGAUCACCUUGCCCCCCCACAAUCUCAGCACAUCACAAAUAUUCCGGGAAGUUCGCGUAGAACUCCCGGACCAUCAUUGGGUUGGCCAUUUUAGGUUUCUCGAACAAGUACUCCAUCUCUCUGUGUCUGAUUUCCUCGUACAUGUCCGGCCUUUCUAUACGGACGGCAGCCCUGUCAACAUGAAUCUUAGGGGCAAAUCAUUUGGUGUCUUUAGCAUGAAACCCGUCCUCUACCUCCUGCGACUGGAAUCGGGUAGCAUGUCGGCAGUUGGGAAGUGCUUGCCGUAUUCCUAUGCUUCCUUGGGGCCAUAGUACCUGCGAGCAAUUUAGAAAAUCAAUCAGGUGCAUCCUAACAUGUACCAGUCGGUGGUUACUCAGACUUAGUCACCCGCUGGCACCAAACAAUUCCCUUUUUUUUUAAUCAAGGCCAUUAUUUCCAACUAGUAAAGUGUCCAAAGUUAACAACCCAUAUUAUUGCCUCGUGCCAUUAUCAAUUUUACAAGUCCACCAUAUAAGAUCCCACACAAGCCUCUACAAGUGAAUCAUAUCAAAUGCUACCACCGCCACAACAUAAGAAUGGCCCAAAGUGCUCCCAAAUUUCACAAAAACACCCCCAAUUUUCAGCCCUUUAGGCUCCUCCACCAAACUUCACCCUAAAAAAUUGUGUGGGCAUCAAGACAUGCCAAAACUCUCCCACCAUUGAAGCACAAUGAAAACCCCUUCAUUUAAGCAUCAAUCAUGGCCAACAGAAGAAAAUAAUGGAGGAAAAUCAAGAAAAGAAAGAAAAAAAUGAAAAUUAGCACUAAAACACUACCCAGGGUUUAAUUGAAACUAAAUUAAACUACUCAUUACACUAAGUUACUUGAAGAAGAGAGAAGAGAGUAGAGAAACUUACCUUGAAGCAGAGUGGAAGGGAUGAGAUGUGUGUGUGGGAGGUGUAUUGGAGAAGAAAAGAUAAUGGGGGAAGAUCGCUAGAGAGAGAGAAGAGAGAAAAGGUAAUGGGGUUGGAAGGGGGAUUGGUUUGGAUAUUGGGGAAAGAAAAGAAGAGGGGAGGUUAGGGUAACUAAGAAGGGGGACGGGGAGAAAAAAAAAUUAUGCACUUACCUGGCCUGGGCCCAAUCUGUUCUGCAUCAGUCCUACCGCGGUUACGCUGGGACUAUAGUAGACCUCUAUCACAGAAGGUCCUAGACCGCGGUCCUACCAUGGUUACACUGAGCCCGCGGUGGACCAGUACUUGACUGCGGUCCGACCGCGGUUACGCCGGAACCACGGUCUAGGCCUGUUCCUGCUUUUCUUUUUCUUUUCUUUUUUUUAAUGAAGUUUUACAUUACACUUACAUUACAGCCACGCAGCUCCUGAUUUAAAGUCGUGGCACGACGCAAGUAGUUGAGCUCUUAUUCCUCAUUCUCGUACUGGGGUUCUUUUAAAUUAUUGUACCCCCUUUUUCGUCAGCUAUUCCAAGGUAAUGUUUCAACCUUUGCCCAUUUACCGAGAACUUGUUUGUCCCAUUUUCUGACUCAAUCUCCACAGCUUCACUUGCAAACAUUUGCACCACUCUAAAUGUCCCUAUCUAUCCGGACUUCAACUUACCCGAAAACAAUCUUAACCGUGAAUUAUACAAUAAUACCUUAUUACCGGGUUUGAAGUUUUUGUCCACAAUGUGUUUGUCAUGCAUCUUAUUCAUUCUUUCCUUGUACAACCUCAUGCUUUCAAAAACCUGAUAUCUAAAUUCUUCUAGCUCAUGCAACUCUGUCAGUCGAUUUUGCGCAGCUGCUUCAGGAUCCAUGUUUAAUUGCUUCAGUGCCCACCAAGCUCGAUGUUCUAGCUCCACAGGUAGGUGACAGGCCUUCCCAAAUACCAACUUGUAUGGGGACAUACCUAUUAAUGUUUUGUACGCAAUUCUAUAGGCCCAGAGUGCAUCAUCCAGCUUCUUUGCCCAAUUAGUUCGGGUAGCAUUCACCGUAUUGGUUAGUACACUCAUUAUCUCCCUGUUACAUACUUCAACCUGCCCAUUGGUCUGCAGAUGGUAAGGCGUAGCCACUUCAUGGCGUACAUCAUACUUCAUACCAAUUUGUAUGGUGACAUACCUUAGUGUUUUGAACACAGUUCUAUAUGCCCAGAGUGAGUCAUCAAGCUUCUUUGCCCAAUCAGUUUGGGUGACAUUCAUGGUCUUUAUUACUACACAUUUGAUCUCAACGUUGGACACUUCAACCUGCCCACUGGUUUGCGGAUGGAAAUGAGUAGCCACAUUGUGGCAUACAUCAUACUUAUCAAGUAAUUUCUUGAAGGCUUUAUUGCAGAAGUGAGUGCCUCCGUCACUGAUGAUCGCUCUUGGUGUCCCAAACCGGGUGAAUAUAUUAUUUUUUCAGAAAUCAGACUACCACUCUCGCAAAAUUUGUGGGUAUAUACCCAUUUAGAAACGUAGACCACAGCAACAAGUAUGUACUUAUUGCCAAAUGAGAUGACGAAGGGGCCCAUGAAGUCAAUCCCCAACAUAUCAAGCACUUAUACCUCUUGAAUUGGUUUCAUUGGCAUCUCAUUGUGACGGGAAAUGUUUCCCAUCCUCUGGUAUUCAUUGCAGCCUUUUACCUAUAGGUGUGCUUCUCUAAGCACAGUUGGCCAAAAGAAUCCGGCCUCUAGCACUUUCACAGUUGUUCUGACCCCUCCAAAAUGUCCUCCAUAUGCUGAUGCGUGACAAGCUUGAAGAUUGUUCUAUCUCGGGGACACACAUCCGGAUAAUGUUAUCAACACAUAUUCGAAACAAAUGAGGUUCAUCCCAAUAAUACAUGCGGCAAUCACAAAAGAACUUUUUCUUUUGGACAGAUGAAAGGUCAUAUGGAACUAUACCACAGGCUAGGUGGUUUGCAAAAUCUGCAUACCAUGACGCAUCCUCAAGGCUAGCUGUGAGCAGCUGCUCAUAUGGAAAGGUUUCCAGAAUCUCUUCAACCUCGAUGGAUUUUUCAGCUUUUUCAAGUCAUGAUAGAUGAUCAAUGACUUGAUUUUCUAUGCCCUAAUGGUUACGAAAGAACUUUUUCUUAUGUCGCACAAUGCAGUUGGUUGUGUGCAUCUAUAGAGUUUGAUAAAGAUGGAGAGCUGCGCUUCUGCGCGUUCUGUAUCGCACCUGUGGGGCCGCGGAUGCGGUUGUUUAGUCGUAGAUGCAUAAAGUGACCUGUUGAGUUAUUGUUGCAGAUGCGAGAUUAAGCGACUAUCAUAGAUGCGUAGUUUUCUCAUAAAAGCGAGGGCGUAGGUGCACGUUUGGGUAUGCAAAUGCGGAAAUGCUAGGCUGAUUCUAUAUAUUUUGAGGGUUUGUUCACUUAUUCAUAUUUUGAGCGAUCGGUCUCAAAUUAGGGCGAUUUUGAAGGCAAUUUUCUCCACGUGAAUUGGGGUAAGUAUUUCUAUUCGGUUUGGUUAUAUUACAUGAUUUUAUCUUUGAUUUUUGCAUUCGGAUUGUGAAUUUCAUAAAUAAAUUGGGAGUUUUUGUCUAAACUUUCCUAAAGAAUUUUUUUGAGUUUUGAACAUCUAUUUGGAUUUAAAAUUGAGUGAAAUCAGUAUGGUUGGAUUCGUAAAUAAACGGGUUGUCAGAUUUAGUUAUUUUUAUUGGGUUUCGAGGUGCGAGCCCAAAAUAUUAUUGGGUUCGAGGUACGAGCCCAAAUUUGACUUUUUUGUUGACUUUGAGUAGAUGUGUAAAGAUUCGACUUUUAUUAUUUGGGAUUGUUUUCUUAGGCAUCAUUUGAUAUAUUUGAGUUGUUUUUUAUUAAUUUUGAGUCGUUUGGAGGUUGAUUCAUGCGGGAUGACAUUUUUAUUGUACUGUUUGGCUUGCUCUGUAUUGGAUUUGGCUAGUUCGACGUAAGUAACAUAUCUAAGCUCAGAUUCAUGUGUAUUUAACCCUGGAAACUAUCUUAUAAGAGAUGUAUAGGGUGACACACAUGCUAGGUGAUGAGUGUGUGGGUGUAAACCGAUAAUCAUGAUUUAAGUUGGCUAUUAAACUAUGACCAGACUUGUUUUAUUGUUAUAUCUUAUUCUAUCCCUGAAAUUCCUACUUGUUAGAGUAAAUAAGUUGUGAUUCAUGUUAGAAAUCACCUUUAGGCUAUGUUCCUAUUCGGUUAAGAAAUAAUGAGUCUAUUUCGGUUAUUUUGAGUUAUCCUCUCUAACUGUAAUUAUAUACUCAGUCAUGAUUCUUUUUUUGCAUAUCAUAUAUCAGUAAUUGUUCAUCAUUCAUUAUUACAUCACGCGUUCUCAUUGUUUGGACUGAGUAGUACAAGAUUGUGAUCCCUUGAGACAUAAGAGAUCGAUGACUAAGGUGGUCUUGAGAAGCGUAUUGUGAGUGUUAUUGUGGAUUGAGUUACACCACAACAGGCCAUAUUGGCUUUGUAACUGUUACUCAUUAUUGUGGAUUUGGUUGCACACCGCAAUUUGCCUUAUUGACUUAUUUAUUAUUGUGGAUUGGGUUACACGCCGCAGUAGGCCUUAUAGGCUUUAGAUUAGUACUUGGUCAAGAUUCACACCUCCGAAGUCUGAUAUACCGGAAGUAACGCGCAUGCAUAUUGAUAUAUAUACUCGUACUUUGGUGAGGGGCUUAUGAGCUAGGCUCUCGUACAACGCUGAGUGGUGGUGUGUGUGUGACGAAGUGGUCAAAUUAGACAGACAGCUUGAUUAGGUUGAGGGUGAAAGUACGUGAGAAUAUCACUGUAAGAUCAUUUAUUUGACAUGUAUACUUGGCAUGUAGGUAAUAGAGAAGCAUUUGUUUCCUCAUGUUAUACAAUAUUGUGACAUUUGUGACUUGACAUGCAUAUUGACAUGUAGGCAUAGAGAUGCACUUUACUCAUGCUAUCUGAUAAUGGAGUAUCUUAUCUAUUGUUGAAAAUUUGGGAAACAUCACAAUUUUUUUCAUAUACUCAUAUUCCGGUUAUUUCGAUAAAAGAUCAUGGAUUUACUGUUAUUCUUGAAAUGCAUGUUUCUUUUUCAUAACUGUGAACAAGUUGAGCAUAAUAUCUUUGAAUUAUUACUUGUACAACUUUUAUUAUAGUAUUACGAGUUAUUUUGGCUAUUGGUGUAGGACUCUGAACCUUUUUCGAGCUCGUCACUACUUUGAAUCUAAGGUUAAGUUUGCUACUUAUUGAGUACAUGGGGUCGGUUGUACUCAUACUACACUUCUGCAUCUUACGUGCAGAUUUUGGAGUUGAUGUUACUGUGUAUGGCGGGACCUGACAUUGAAGAUGUACUUGCGUUCCGGUUGUUGCUGCUUCUUGUUCAUGGUAUCUUUAGAUUUGUAAAUCAAUUUAUGUAUAUUUCGAACAGAUGAUAUAUUUAUUUCGUACAAGCUUUGUAAAUUUUAAGUCUUAACAGCUUAUGACUUGUACUAC
rnacentral:lncRNA from 1 species